UUGCAUUAACUGGAGAGAGAAGAAUAUAACCCUUUGUAAGAUACACAGUUGAAAUGAAGAUUUAAAUUCAGAUAAUAUGAAAAGAGAAAGACAGCCUGAAACUGCAAGAGACAAGCAAAGAGAAACAAAGAAAAUGGAGUUUUUCUUACGGUUUGUCACAUGUAGAAGUGCAACAGCGCAACCCAAAGAGAUAUUUCCAAUUCAAGAAUAUAUUGGUGCUUAAUAAUCACUGCAGUGAAGCGAGAAUUAAAAAGGGGAUUUGAAGCCAGGCAUUACAUGCACCAGGUAAGUGCUCUAAGAGGGAUUAAAAAACAUGGGUGCAAAUGUAACCUUUUUGUA
rnacentral:lncRNA from 1 species